rnacentral:rRNA from 1 species
UACGUAGGGCGCAAGCGUUGUCCGGAAUUAUUGGGCGUAAAGAGCUCGUAGGCGGUUUGUCGCGUCUGCUGUGAAAACCUAAGGCUCAACCUUGGGCUUGCAGUGGGUACGGGCAGACUAGAGUGCGGUAGGGGUGAGUGGAAUUCCUGGUGUAGCGGUGGAAUGCGCAGAUAUCAGGAGGAACACCGAUGGCGAAGGCAGGUCACUGGGCCGCAACUGACGCUGAGGAGCGAAAGCAUGGGGAGCGAACAGG